GACAGAGGACAGGCUGCUAAGCCAGGAAGCAGAAUCAAAGUAAACAGCAGUCCCCAUGUGUCUCCUGUGUGCUGUGCACUGUCCUUGGCUGAGAUCAUUACCUCAGAGGAGGCAGAGCGGCGGGGCCAGAUCUACGACCGUCAGGGCGCCACCUACCUCUUUGACCUGGACUACGUGGAGGACGUGUACACCGUGGAUGCCGCCUACUAUGGCAACAUCUCCCACUUUGUCAACCACAGUUGUGACCCCAACCUGCAGGUGUACAACGUCUUCAUAGACAACCUUGACGAGCGGCUGCCCCGCAUCGCUUUCUUUGCCACAAGAACCAUCCGGGCAGGCGAGGAGCUCACCUUUGAUUACAACAUGCAAGUGGACCCCGUGGACAUGGAGAGCACCCGCAUGGACUCCAACUUUGGCCUGGCUGGGCUCCCUGGCUCCCCUAAGAAGCGGGUCCGUAUUGAAUGCAAGUGUGGGACUGAGUCCUGCCGCAAAUACCUCUUCUAGCCCUUAGAAGUCUGAGGCCAGACUGACUGAGGGGGCCUGAAGCUACAUGCACCUCCCCCACCGCUGCCCUCCUGUCGAGAAUGACUGCCAGGGCCUCGCCUGCCUCCACCUGCCCCCACCUGCUCCUACCUGCUCUACGUUCAGGGCUGUGGCCAUGGUGAGGACCGACUCCAGGAGUCCCCUUUCCCUGUCCCAGCCCCAUCUGUGGGUUGCACUUACAAACCCCCACCCACCUUCAGAAAUAGUUUUUCAACAUCAAGACUCUCUGUCGUUG
rnacentral:sRNA from 1 species